GGGUCCUCAGUGCCGUUUACCAAGGCCGACAAAGUCCAGCGGCAUUAUCGUGUCAUCGUGACAUCGGUUUGCUGCUUGGAACCAAGCACCGUAGUCAUCUCCUCUCCCCUGCCCUUCCUGUUCCUCUGAAGCUGAAGUCACUUCCCUGGAUGAUGCCUGGAUAGAAGCAGGGCCCAUUUCACCUGUUGGCAGAAGCUUGUUUUUAGCCACAUCAGGCUCUCUAG
rnacentral:lncRNA from 10 species